rnacentral:rRNA from 1 species
UCUGUAUGAAAUUAAUAUACAGUCUAGCCUGCCCACUGAGUAGUUAAAGGGCCGCGGUAAUUUGACCGUGCGAAGGUAGCAUAAUCAAUAGUUUUUUAAUUGAGAGCUGGAAUGAAUGGUUAUAUAAAAAGAAUACUUUUUUAUCAAGAAAAUUUGAAAUUUACUUUUAAGUGAAAAGGCUUAAAUAAUUUAAUGGGACGAUAAGACCCUAUAAAACUUUAUAAGGGGGGCUUAGUUUUUAAUUUGUUUGUUAAAAAAAAUCAAGCAGCCCAUUGUUGGACUGGGGCGGUCGAGAUAUAUUUAUAACUGUCUUUAGGAAUAAAAUAUAUUUAAAUAGAAAGUUGACCCUUAAUAAGGAUUAAAAGAAUAAGUUACUUUAGGGAUAACAGCGUAAUUUUUUUAGAGAGUUCAUAUCGAUAAAAGUAGUUGCGACCUCGAUGUUGAAUUUAAGAUUUCCUUGGUAUGAAGAAGUACAAAGGGUGGGUCUGUUCGACCUUUAAAAUC